rnacentral:rRNA from 1 species
UACUAGAGUAGCACUCGCAUAUCAAUAAGCGGAGGAAAAGAAACUAACAAGGAUUCCCCUAGUAACGGCGAGUGAAGCGGGAAGAGCUCAAAUUUGAAAUCUUAAAGGGUUUCCCUUUACGAAUUGUAGUUUAAAGAAGUGUUUUCUGUUGAGGUUUUGGUAAAAGUUCUUUGGAAUAGGACAUCAUAGAGGGUGAGAAUCCCGUAUUUGACCUUUACUUUCAACUUUGUGAUACACUUUCAAAGAGUCGGAUUGUUUGGGAAUGCAGUCCAAAAUGGGUGGUAAAUUUCAUCUAAAGCUAAAUAUUGGCGAGGAGACCGAUAGCGAACAAGUACCGUGAGGGAAAGAUGAAAAGAACUUUGAAAAGAGAGUUAAACAGUACGUGAAAUUGUCAAAAGGGAAGCGUUUGACACCAGUGUUGUUUUUCUGAAAAUCAAUUAAAGAACUGUUUAUGCUAAGCUGUUUAGACUUUAUCAGCUAUCUGUUUAGUUUUGAGCUUUUCUUUAAUGCACUUUUCAGUUAACAAGUCAACAUCAAUUUCUUUUGCUGUAAAAAAGCUUGAGGAAGGUGGCUUGAGAUUCGUCUUAAGUGUUUAUAGCCUCUUGCCUAUGCAGUCGGAGAGAUUGAGGUCUGCAGCGUAGAUCCUUCGGGGCUAAAUGCAUUUGUGCUAAGUUAUAGCAUUUUAUAGACAACUUGUUGACUAUGAUUUGUCUUGUAGCUUACUCGCUUAUGUUAUUUUACCUACGCUUAGGAUGUUGAGUCAUCACACAUCUCU